rnacentral:rRNA from 1 species
GUAAACGAUGUCGACUUGGAGGUUGUGCCCUUGAGGCGUGGCUUCCGGAGCUAACGCGUUAAGUCGACCGCCUGGGGGGUACGGCCGCAAGGUUAAAACUCAAAUGAAUUGACGGGGGCCCGCACAAGCGGUGGAGCAUGUGGUUUAAUUCGAUGCAACGCGAAGAACCUUACCUGGUCUUGACAUCCACAGAACUUUCCAGAGA